AGACGAGCUCCACCAGCUGGAUCUCUACUCUGAACUUCUAUUACGAGCGGACUUCAUCCGAGCUUCUACAAUAAGAAGUCUCAAUCCGAGCUUCCACAGCAAUCGAUCUUCGUUCGAGCUCCUACAAGAGCCGAACUUCGUCCGAACUUCUACAGCAGAUGGAUCCCAGAUGAACUUCUACAAUGGACAGGCUCCACCAGUCGGAUCUCUACUCCGAACUUCUAUUACGAACGGACUUCAUCCGAGCUUCUACAAUAAGAAGUCUCCAUCCGAGCUUCCACGGCAACCGAUCUUCGUCCGAGCUUCUACAGUAAGCGGCCUCCUUUCGGACUCCUACAAGAAUCGGACUCCGUUCGAACUUCUAUAAUAGAAUUGAAUUCCAGACUCCUCCAGCAAUCAACCCUCCACAGUGUCCUCAAGACUCCUCCAGUAGAUGAACUUCCACAAUGCCUUCC
rnacentral:lncRNA from 1 species